rnacentral:misc_RNA from 1 species
GGACUACCAGGGUAUCUAAUCCUGUUUGCUCCCCACGCUUUCGUGCAUGAGCGUCAGUGUUAUCCCAGGGGGCUGCCUUCGCCAUUGGUAUUCCUCCACAUAUCUACGCAUUUCACUGCUACACGUGGAAUUCUACCCCCCUCUGACACACUCUAGUCAUACAGUCACAGACGCCAUUCCCAGGUCAAGCCCGGGGAUUUCACGCCUGUCUUGUAUAACCGCCUGCGCACGCUUUACGCCCAGUAAUUCCGAUUAACGCUUGCACCCUACGUAUUACCGCGGCGGCUGGCACCA